UUUUUUGUAGAGUUUGAUCCUAGCUCAGGAUGAACGCUGGCGGCGUGGAUAAGGCAUGCAAGUCGAACGAACCAAACCUUUGAAAUAUUUGAGAGCGUAGCAAUACAAUCGAUAGUAUGGACGAGAUUCAUUGGUUAGUGGCGAACGAGGUAGUAACACGUGGGUACGAACCUAAAAGUCAGGAAUAGCCCAGAGAAAUCUGGAGUAAUACUUGAUACACCCUCCGGGGUAAAGAUUUUAUCGCUUUUAGAUCGGCCUGCGGGAUAUCAGCUUGUUGGUAAGGUAAUGGCUUACCAAGGCUAUGACGUCUAGGGGAGGUGAGAGCCUGGCCCCCACCGAUGGGACUGAGACACGGCCCAUACACCUACGGGUGGCUGCAGCCGAGAAUAUUCCGCAAUGGACGAAAGUCUGACGGAGCGACGCCGCGUGAUGGAUGAAGUUCUUUGGAGUGUAAACAUCUUUUAUGAGGGAGGAAAUUUUUGACGUUACCUCAUGAAUAAGGGCCUCCUAAUCUCGUGCCAGCAGGAGCGGUAAUACGAGAGGCCCGAGCGUUAUCCGGAAUUAUUGGGCGUAAAGGGUGUGUAGGUGGUUUUGUUAGUCUUCUGUGAAAGAUCCGGGCUCAACCUGGAAAACAUAGGAGAAACGGCAAAGCUAGAGUGUGUGAGAGGUGUACGGAACUCAUGGUGUAGGGGUGAAAUCCGUUGAUAUCAUGGGGAACACCAAAGGCGAAGGCAGUACACUAGCGCAUAACUGACACUAAAACACGAAAGCGUGGGUAGCGAAUGGGAUUAGAUACCCCAGUAGUCCACGCCCUAAACGAUCUUCUCUGGUCUUUCGGAGUAUCGACCCUCUGAGAGGCGAAGCUAACGCGUUAAGAGAAGCGCCUGGGAACUACGGCCGCAAGGCUAAAACUCAAAGGAAUAGACGGGGACUUGCACAAGCGGUGGAUUGUGUGGUUUAAUUCGAUGAUAAACGAAGAACCUCACCAGGGUUUGAAACCUAUACGAAACUUUCCAGAAACGGAAAGCCUCUUCGGACGGAUAGGCAGGUGCUGCAUGGCCGUCGUCAGUUCGUGGCUUGAGCUGUUCCCUUAAGUGGGGAAACGAACGCAACCCUCGUUGCCUGUUACAAGUGUCAGGCAAGACCGCCCAGCCCUAAUUUUUUGAGAAAACUUUUUUGAAAAAUUAGGGCUGGGAGGAAGGAGAGGAUGACGCCAGGUCCGCAUGGCCCUUUGAUACCCUGGGCUACACACGCAAUACAAUGGCUACUACAACGGGACGCGACGGAGUGAUCCUAAGCAAAUCCUAAUAAAGGUAGCCCCAGUUCGGAUUGUAGUCUGCAACUCGACUACAUGAAGCCGGAAUCGCUAGUAAUCGCGGGUCAGCAAACCGCGGUGAAUACGUUCUCAAGUCUUGUACUCACCGCCCGUCAAUUCAAGGGAGCCGGGAAUACCCGACGUCUCACAUUAGUGGGCCUACGGUAAGCUCGGUGACAGGGAAUAAGUCGUAACAAGGCACGGGUAGCGGAAGCUGUUCGUGGA
rnacentral:rRNA from 1 species